CUCUGUGUCUCCUACGGGAGGCAGCAGUGGGGAAUAUUGCACAAUGGGCGCAAGCCUGAUGCAGCCAUGCCGCGUGUAUGAAGAAGGCCUUCGGGUUGUAAAGUACUUUCAGCAGUGAGGAAGGCGAGUACGUUAAUAGCGUGCUCGUUUGACGUUAGCUGCAGAAGAAGCACCGGCUAACUCCGUGCCAGCAGCCGCGGUAAUACGGAGGGUGCGAGCGUUAAUCGGAAUUACUGGGCGUAAAGCGCAUGCAGGUGGUUUGUUAAGUCAGAUGUGAAAGCCCCGGGGCUCAACCUCGGAAUUGCAUUUGAAACUGGCAGACUAGAGUACUGUAGAGGGGGUAGAAUUUCAGGUGUAGCGGUGAAAUGCGUAGAGAUCUGAAGGAAUACCGGUGGCGAAGGCGGCCCCCUGGACAGAUACUGACACUCAGAUGCGAAAGCGUGGGGAGCAAACAGGAUUAGAUACCCUGGUAG
rnacentral:rRNA from 1 species